rnacentral:lncRNA from 1 species
GCCGGAAUUGGGUUCAUCUCUCUCUCUCUGUCUCUCUCUCUCUCUCUCUCUCUCUUUCAGACAGGGUCUCACUAUGUAGUUGAGACUGACCUGGAACUCCCUAUGUAGCCCAGACUGGUCUCGAACUCACAGUGAUCCUCCUGCCUCAGCCUCCCAAGUGCUGGGAUUACAGGCGUGCCUCACCAUGCCCAGCCUAGGGUCCAUCUCUCUUAAGGAUGACAGUCAUCACCUGUUGAGGUAUCACUUGGAGGGUGAUAUGGGUGGUUCCCACCUGGGGUAAAUCAAGCCUCUAUGAGGGAAUUUUCCUUCUUGUCCUCCCCAGCUCUCAAUGUGGGGUGGGGGCCAAGCAGAGGGUCCAGUCCGGCUUCCGAUUGUCCCACCCUGGGGCCUGCUGGGCCUCUGCAAUGAAAUCUAGGUUCCCGCCCGGCUCCCCUAGGGCUCCUAAGCUGCAGUGCUUCUCAGGUCACACAGGCCCUGAGCAGGUGAGUGGGAGAGGAGGAGAGAGGAGAGGAGGUGAGGAUGGCGCCUGCUGUCAUGAGGAACCAGGGAGCGCGGGCUGCGGGGACCCCGGAAGAGAGCGGGGAAGGGCCGGAACUGCUGGGUGGAGACCGGAAGUGGAGUGGACGGAGUGCCCUGAGGGCCAGGAGCCCGGCAACAACCAGGUCAGUCCGCCCCGCAGGGCUGAGAGGCCCGACGCCCGGACGCUGACACAGGACUGCCACGUAACGGCUGCUCAUUCUGCCCACUGUUUGCAGGCUCUGCCGACGCAGGCAGACACCCACGGGCUUCCUUGUCCCUGCGUGGGGUCGUCAGCCUGCUGAUGCCUAAACCCACACGACGCACCCGCCGUCUCGUCCUGCCCAGGGCUUCGUCACAGUGGCCUUUCCUGGGUGGUUGGCAGAAGGCGUCCGGAGAGCAGCGCCCAUUCCUCUGCCCCCAGAGACUGAUGAAAAAUCAAGAGUUAAAAGAGUUUUGCCACCGACUUCGUAAGUCUGCACAGUGUGCUGUCACAGUGUCUAACUCCAACAUAUACAUUUUUUUGUUUGUUUGUUUUUUGAGACAGGGUCUCAUUAUGUAGUGGAGACUGACCUGGAACUCACUAUAUAGCCCAGGCUGGUCUCAAACUCUCCUGCCUCAGCCUCCCGAGUGCUGGGAUUACAGGCGUGCGCCACCACGCCCGGCUC